GUGAAUUGUGAUGUUGUUCUACCAGGAAACAUGGAACUCUCCAUUCAUCUUCUUACUUCGAUCGUGUAUCCCCACUAUACUUUGAAAUAGAAAGAAGAGUUAUCCUGUCAAAAUUCAAAACAUUUAAAUUAAAAGAUCAGGAAACGGGUCAAACCCAACAACCCAAGUAAAGAACCAAUUAAAUUAAAAGAAAAGGCAGUUGAAAGAUCGAAUAUAUAAAAAAAAGGAGAGGCAGUGAAAGAAAUUACCGGAAAAGAUUUUCCUUUGGCAUUUAUGGUUUUUCUGCUUUCUGAUUCUCUGCAGUUUGAUCUUGGUGUUCAAGUUUUUUUAUUUCGACUUUGGUAAUCUUCUUUUUCCGUUUCAGGUAUUAUGUUCCGGUCAGAAUUACUCAGUUCUCAUUAAAUUCUGUUUCCGUUUCUGUUAAAUCUGUAGACGGAUGACCGCCGGUGUGAGCGAGUGCCUGACUGAAGUGAAUUGAGCCGGAGAGCCGCUCAAUUCGUAGCACAGCAAUGUGGGAAGAAAGGGGACGGAUUCUAAGGUUUUUCGAACUAACUGCUGUCCUAGAAUCCGAUGAAGAGCGAUUAGUUGAAUUAACAGUGUAUAUAUUUUCAUUGAUUUAAUCAUUGGUUUACAUUAUCUUAUUUAUAAUACAGUUAGACUAAUUACAGUUAUUACAACAAUAUUAUCUUAUAACUAUAUUUAUAAUACUAUAACAAUAUAAGUAUUAUUCAGUCUGGUCCGUAGCCUAUUUCCAACGUCGGCCCAACUGCAAUAUUAAAACAUUUGUGUCAUUUACCCAAAGCUUCUUUGAUAUUACGAAC
rnacentral:lncRNA from 1 species